rnacentral:rRNA from 1 species
AUACGUAGGUGGCAAGCGUUGUCCGGAAUUAUUGGGCAUAAAGCGCAUGUAGGCGGUUUGGUAAGUCGGUCGUGAAAAUGCGGUGCUUAACGCCGUAUGGCGAUUGAAACUGCUGAACUUGAGUGCAGGAGAGGAAAGGGGAACUCCCAGUGUAGCGGUGAAAUGCGUAGAUAUUGGGAAGAACACCGGUGGCGAAGGCGCCUUUCUGGACUGUGUCUGACGCUCAGAUGCGAAAGCCAGGGUAGCGAACGGGAUUAGAUACCCCGGUAGUCCUGGCCGUAAACGAUGGGUACUAGGUGUGGGAGGUAUCGACUCCUUCCGUGCCGGAGUUAACGCAAUAAGUACCCCGCCUGGGGAGUACGGCCGCAAGGCUUAAACUCAAAGGAAUUGACGGGG